GAUUAAAUGGCUGAAUUAUAGGCAGUAGACUGUAAAUUUACUUAUGAGAAGUUUGAUUUCUUUUUAAUCA
rnacentral:tRNA from 1 species